GACGAACGCUGGCGGCGUGCCUAAUACAUGCAAGUAGAACGCUGAAGAGAGGAGCUUGCACUUCUUGGAUGAGUUGCGAACGGGUGAGUAACGCGUAGGUAACCUGCCUUGUAGCGGGGGAUAACUAUUGGAAACGAUAGCUAAUACCGCAUAACAAUGGAUGACACAUGUCAUUUAUUUGAAAGGGGCAAUUGCUCCACUACAAGAUGGACCUGCGUUGUAUUAGCUAGUAGGUGAGGUAAUGGCUCACCUAGGCGACGAUACAUAGCCGACCUGAGAGGGUGAUCGGCCACACUGGGACUGAGACACGGCCCAGACUCCUACGGGAGGCAGCAGUAGGGAAUCUUCGGCAAUGGGGGCAACCCUGACCGAGCAACGCCGCGUGAGUGAAGAAGGUUUUCGGAUCGUAAAGCUCUGUUGUAAGUCAAGAACGGGUGUGAGAGUGGAAAGUUCACACUGUGACGGUAGCUUACCAGAAAGGGACGGCUAACUACGUG
rnacentral:rRNA from 1 species